GCUAAGGUGGCAGAGCCUGGUAAUUGCAAAAGGCCUAAGCCCUUUCCGUCGGAGGUUCAAAUCCUCUCCUUCAGCU
rnacentral:tRNA from 1 species